rnacentral:rRNA from 1 species
GACGAACGCUGGCGGCGUGCUUAACACAUGCAAGUCGAACGGAAAGGCCCUGCUUUUGUGGGGUGCUCGAGUGGCGAACGGGUGAGUAACACGUGAGUAACCUGCCCUUGACUUUGGGAUAACUUCAGGAAACUGGGGCUAAUACCGGAUAGGAGCUCCUGCUGCAUGGUGGGGGUUGGAAAGUUUCGGCGGUUGGGGAUGGACUCGCGGCUUAUCAGCUUGUUGGUGGGGUAGUGGCUUACCAAGGCUUUGACGGGUAGCCGGCCUGAGAGGGUGACCGGCCACAUUGGGACUGAGAUACGGCCCAGACUCCUACGGGAGGCAGCAGUGGGGAAUAUUGCACAAUGGGCGGAAGCCUGAUGCAGCAACGCCGCGUGCGGGAUGAUGGCCUUCGGGUUGUAAACCGCUUUCGCCUGUGACGAAGCGUGAGUGACGGUAAUGGGUAAAGAAGCACCGGCUAACUACGUGCCAGCAGCCGCGGUGAUACGUAGGGUGCGAGCGUUGUCCGGAUUUAUUGGGCGUAAAGGGCUCGUAGGUGGUUGAUCGCGUCGGAAGUGUAAUCUUGGGGCUUAACCCUGAGCGUGCUUUCGAUACGGGUUGACUUGAGGAAGGUAGGGGAGAAUGGAAUUCCUGGUGGAGCGGUGGAAUGCGCAGAUAUCAGGAGGAACACCAGUGGCGAAGGCGGUUCUCUGGGCCUUUCCUGACGCUGAGGAGCGAAAGCGUGGGGAGCGAACAGGCUUAGAUACCCUGGUAGUCCACGCUGUAAACGGUGGGUACUAGGUGUGGGGUCCAUUCCACGGGUUCCGUGCCGUAGCUAACGCUUUAAGUACCCCGCCUGGGGAGUACGGCCGCAAGGCUAAAACUCAAAGGAAUUGACGGGGCCCCGCACAAGCGGCGGAGCAUGCGGAUUAAUUCGAUGCAACGCGUAGAACCUUACCUGGGUUUGACAUGGAUCGGGAGUGCUCAGAGAUGGGUGUGCCUCUUUUGGGGUCGGUUCACAGGUGGUGCAUGGCUGUCGUCAGCUCGUGUCGUGAGAUGUUGGGUUAAGUCCCGCAACGAGCGCAACCCUUGUUCACUGUUGCCAGCACGUUAUGGUGGGGACUCAGUGGAGACCGCCGGGGUCAACUCGGAGGAAGGUGGGGAUGACGUCAAGUCAUCAUGCCCCUUAUGUCCAGGGCUUCACGCAUGCUACAAUGGCUGGUACAGAGAGUGGCGAGCCUGUGAGGGUGAGCGAAUCUCGGAAAGCCGGUCUCAGUUCGGAUUGGGGUCUGCAACUCGACCUCAUGAAGUCGGAGUCGCUAGUAAUCGCAGAUCAGCAACGCUGCGGUGAAUACGUUCCCGGG